CAGUGUUUCCCUGGGUUCCUGUGGUGGGGGUGGGGGCUGUCCUGACUGCUGGAGCUCUGCUACUCACCAUCUACUGCACUCUGAAGAGGAGAUCCACAGGAGGAAGUGAUACCACUGCAGACACACAGAAUGUGAGAGACUCUCCCAGUGACACAGCCCCUCAGAUAGAUGCUGAGCCCUCCGAUUAUGAGAACUGGAGCAAACCACCACAGGACCUGGACAGUGACACAGACCCUCAGAUAGAUGCUGAGCCCUCCGAUUAUGAGAACUGGAGAGAACCACAAAAGAACCUGAACUGAACAGAACCACCACAGAACCUGGACAGUGACACAGACCCUCAGAUAGAUGCUGAGCCCUCCGAUUAUGAGAACUGGAGCAAACCACCACAGGACCUGGACAGUGACACAGACCCUCAGAUAGAUGCUGAGCCCUCCGAUUAUGAGAACCACAAAAGAACCGGGACUGAAGAGAACCACCACAGAACCUGGACCAAAGAGAACCACCAUAGAACAUGGACUGAAGAGAACCAAAACAGUACCUGGACUGAAGAGCAACAGCAUCAAACCAAAGCUAGGCCUCACAAUGCUAUUCUCUUACUAUCAUAAUGCUUUAUAGUCUAGAAGGUUUGAGACACUGAGCUUUAACUUCUGAGUAAGUGCUGGAAUUUAGAUUGUUCUCCUAAUGAUAAAUACAGUAUGUGUCUAGAUGAUCAAUACAGUAUGUGUCUAGAUGAUUAAUACAGUAUGUAUAUAGAUGAUAAAUGAUCAAUACAGUACGUGAAUAGAUUCUCAAUACAGUAUGUAUAUAGAUGAUCAAUACAGUAUGUAUCUAGAUGAUCAAUGGGAUAGAUUGUGCUUCUGCUAUUUUUCUAUAAAAUUUUGCCAUUUCCAGAUUUGAUUACAUUUCACAUAGAAAUAAUUGUAACUCUUUAUUAGCAAAUGAAUAGUGUGAGUCUUGGCGAUAUAGGCUCUGCUCCUUCAGGGUAGCAGUAAACUAUACCAAUCCCCCAGCAGGAACACAGAACCUAACAGGUGGAGGCUGGGGUGGUGGGAGGAGCUACUCUCCUGCUCAUGAUCAGAAAACAUUGCUCCUCACUCACUGUAUAGCAACAUGGUUGAGGCUAAUUCCUCCUUGUAUGGAUGAGGGAGAAUUCUCCAUGAUGUUUCACGGAGCGCACUGACUCAGCUCAAAGCUGUUAUUGGGAAGAAACAAGUAGGCAGUAUUAUAGGUUACUCUCGAUGCUAUUUCUACUUAGCUAGCUUGUAGCCGGCUAUUGACUGACAACAGAGCAGCAACAUGGUUGAUCCUCACAAUCAAUCACAUCCCCGCAGCAGCCAAACAUUGUAACAUGAGCAUAUUGAACGAUGUGGGUGAGGUUCAAACACAGCUAGUGAGCAGAGUCACAAAGAAAACAUUAUAUCAGAAAUCAGCAGCAUAGUGAGAAACAUCUAGUUACAGCAGCAGAGUCAACAGAGGACAAGAAGCCAGAGUAGAGUAACAGUAGCAGCAGCAGAGUCAACAGAGGACAAGAAGCCAGA